rnacentral:lncRNA from 1 species
UAUAACUAAAUGAAUCUGAGUCAUUACAUUACUAAGUAUGAGCUGGGGAUAAAUAAAUUAAAUGAGGCUGAGUCAUGUAUUAGGAAGCAAGAACUGUCAAAGCUAUUCAACACUCGGCUAAGCUAUUUUCGUGAUAAGCAAGUAUAGAAAGCCUUGUAUAUAUACCAGGUCAUCCUCUUCAUUCUCUUUUGUUCAUCUUUAAGCUUUCAGACCUUUAUAAUCUCAUAGAAAUUGAUUUCGGUAAGAAUCUAAGCAUUCCAGAAAAAGAAUUGAAGCAAGGAUUGUGUCAGCUCAAGAGGUUAUAUCAUACCUCUGCUAUACUACAGUAAGUUGGAAGGCUAAUAAAUAAGCAAUUUGUUAAACCUUUAAUGUCUGAGAUUUUGGUUUGGGUUGAUUGAGAGAGAUUUCCUAAUGAAAUUUGUUUAAUAGAUAGUCUAUAAUCUAUAAAUCAAAUGGGUUUUAAUAAUGACUUUAUAUUAUUUGAUAAAUUGCCUAAAUAAGGAAUUUAUCUAAAACUGAUAACUUUUCUAGUUUGGUUUAUGAUACAACUUGGAUUUUAGUCAUGUGUUAAGUAUAUUAGGCAUGAAUUCUGCGCUCUGCUAAAGCAGAGCUUGGUUUUUUGUUAUGUCCUCAAGUGUCGCGACAGCAACGGCCUUGGGCUAAAGCCCAAGUUGCCUGGGCUUUAGGCCUACUAAAAUUUAUAAAUUUUUAGGGCUCCAAGAGGUAUUUGUGUUAUGUAUAUAUAUACUCAAAAUAAAAGAGCUCAGCUCAUGUCAGUUUAAAUUUAAAGGCGCACAAAAAAUUUACCCAAUGAAAUAGGUUCAAAUCUCAAAGGUAGAUUUGUAUUUUUUUGUAUUGAUGUUCUUUUGUUUAGGAAAAGUUCUUAGUUUUUUUAUGUCUAUCUUAAUAGUAAUUCACAGAAGAUCCAUUUUUUUGUUAUUGCUUUAGGUCUUUAAAAACUCAGGAUCAGCCCUGACACUUUCAAGCCCAAUACUAGCAUGGCCGCGCUGGUCUGCAGUUUUUCCAAGAUUAGUUUUAUGUAAUCUGAGCUUUAAGGCAUACGUAGAAAGUUCCCCUAUGCUCUAUUAUGUAUCUUAAAGGAUGUCCAGGCUGGCUAGGAAAGGAUUGAACUAUCCAAGCUAAGUUCGCUAAUAAAAAAUACAAAAGAGAAACUAAGUUAUUUUAAAAUAAACUUGAAUGCAACUAGAUAGGGUCCCAGCCUGGUUUAAGGCCCUCAUGGCAUUAGAAAACCCUUAGCAUGAUAGAGAAAUGACCAGAGCAAAGAAAAACUCAAUUUCUAAACUCAGCAGGAGUAGCGCGACUGGGCUACUCCAAGGCCAAAUUUUAGCACGGUGGCGCCGCACUGCAGAACUUCCAAGUUAUUUUAAAUAUGGUCUGAAAUUUAUUGCAUGUUAUAAUAAAAACUCUUAUGAAGAAAUACACGAGGUCUGAGAUGUUUAACUCGGUCAUGUAUGCAUAGGCUAUGUCAAGCUAAGAUUGAAUAAGAGAUACUAAGAGUUUUGCAAAAUGAAUACACAUUUAAAACGAAGAACUAGAGCAUAAUAUAAAUUGAAUAUAUUCAUGGUAUAAAGUAUUUACUCUGAGUACAUAGUCAUAUAUGAACUGACUUUAACAAGCAAGAAUUAAUUAAAAAAGUUUAAUAUAAAAUAAAGCAAAGUCUUGAAUUUGGUUAGAUCUUUUCAAAUGACAAAGACCUUAAAAACAAGCAAGAUAGAUUCAGUGUAAUCCAAGUGACAUCAUUGAAUAUAUGAAACUGAUAUGUAUAUGUGAUUAUACUAUUGUGUAGGAUUUGCGAAGCACAAAUAACUAAAGUUGUAAUCAACACGAAAGGUAAGUCUUUCGGUUUCUAUGUGCUUUAUAAACUUGAUAAGAUUUGUUUGUAAACUAUACUGGAAUGAUUAUGUGAAUUACAUAUGAUGCUCUAUAUAAAUUGUGAAAGUCAAUAUAUGACUAUGUUGAUAGAGUAAUGGAAUUCAAUUGUUAUAUGAUAUGUGAAACGCAACAUGUAUUAUAUAGAUGGUAAAAUGAUUAUGAUGUAUGAACUAAGCAUGGAAUUAUGUGCUAUGUGAUGCAUGAAAACUGCUAGAUUUGUUAGGUCAUCGUGCUCAGUUUUACAAACACUUUUGCAGAUUCAAUAUGCGAUGAGAUCUCUUGCUGACCAGAUGAUCAAGAAUAGGGAUGCAUGUAAAGGAAAUUUUUCUCCUUCGUUAAAAAUGUACUAAUGUAUGAUGACGAUGUAUGUGGUGUGUAUCUGAUAAUAAUGUCGAUCUUUAUGGUAUUUAAUAAAGAAAGAAUGUUUAUUUGAGAUUGAAACUCAGUGUUGUAGUAUUUUGAAUGUAAAUUAUUAUAAUUUUAUACAAG